UACAGAGGUCUCGAGCGUUAGGCGGAAUCACUGGGCUUAAAGCGUCUGUAGGUGGCUUUUCAAGUCCGCCGUCAAAUCCCAGGGCUCAACCCUGGACAGGCGGUGGAAACUGCCAAGCUGGAGUACGGUAGGGGCAGAGGGAAUUUCCGGUGGAGCGGUGAAAUGCGUAGAGAUCGGAAAGAACACCAACGGCGAAAGCACUCUGCUGGGCCGACACUGACACUGAGAGACGAAAGCUAGGGGAGCGAAUGGG
rnacentral:rRNA from 1 species